GACGGGGGGGGCAAGUGUUCUUCGGAAUGACUGGGCGUAAAGGGCACGUAGGCGGUGAAUCGGGUUGAAAGUGAAAGUCGCCAAAAAGUGGCGGAAUGCUCUCGAAACCAAUUCACUUGAGUGAGACAGAGGAGAGUGGAAUUUCGUGUGUAGGGGUGAAAUGCGCAGAUAUCAGGAAGAACACCCGUGGCGAAGGCGGCUCUCUGGGACGGUACUGACGCUGAGACGCGAAAGCGUGGGGAGCGAACAGG
rnacentral:rRNA from 1 species